rnacentral:rRNA from 1 species
AGCGAACGCUGGCGGCAGGCCUAACACAUGCAAGUCGAACGAACUCUUCGGAGUUAGUGGCGGACGGGUGAGUAACACGUGGGAACGUGCCUUUUGGUUCGGAAUAACUCAGGGAAACUUGUGCUAAUACCGAAUGUGCCCUUCGGGGGAAAGAUUUAUCGCCAUUAGAGCGGCCCGCGUCUGAUUAGCUAGUUGGUGAGGUAACGGCUCACCAAGGCGACGAUCAGUAGCUGGUCUGAGAGGAUGACCAGCCACACUGGGACUGAGACACGGCCCAGACUCCUACGGGAGGCAGCAGUGGGGAAUAUUGCGCAAUGGGCGAAAGCCUGACGCAGCCAUGCCGCGUGAAUGAUGAAGGUCUUAGGAUUGUAAAAUUCUUUCACCGGGGACGAUAAUGACGGUACCCGGAGAAGAAGCCCCGGCUAACUUCGUG